UACGUAGGGUGCAAGCGUUGUCCGGAAUUAUUGGGCGUAAAGAGCUUGUAGGCGGUUUGUCGCGUCUGCUGUGAAAUUUCGGGGCUCAACCCCGAACUUGCAGUGGGUACGGGCAGACUAGAGUGUGGUAGGGGAGACUGGAAUUCCUGGUGUAGCGGUGAAAUGCGCAGAUAUCCGGAGGAACACCGGUGGCGAAGGCGGCUUCCUGGACCGACACUGACGCUGAGGCGCGAAAGCUAGGGGAGCAAACGGG
rnacentral:rRNA from 1 species